UACAUCAUCAUUUUACAGGGCUUGAG
rnacentral:sRNA from 1 species